GGGCGGGGAACGGUCCCCUCAGAGAGGGACGGGCGCGAUGGUGGUGGGACCGUCCGUGAGGGAGCGGCGGGACAGCGAGGGGUGGCAGGAGGCGCGCGGGCCCCUCAGCGGGGACAGCCCUCAGCGAGGGGCCGGGUGCGGGGUUCCCGGGCUGCCCCCGCCACCGCCCUCCCCUCCGGCUGACACUUGUCGUGCGCAGACAACACGCACUGUACCAAACAAUCCAGCCCGAGCCCUGCUGCAAACUCGCCGCGUUAUUUUUCUCCUCCGCUUGUUUAUGGCUGACGCUAUCUCGCCUGCACCGCUCCCUCGGUUUCAUUAUCUCUGCUCGCAGAUGGCCCGUGGCUUUCCCUCCUUCGCGGGGUUUGUGCUCGUGGUACAGCUCCAUCUCCCCCUCCCAGCUCUCUGUCCCUCACCCUUGCUCACAGGUGAUGCUCCCAAAUUGCUCCCACCUCGUCCCUCUCAGCCCCUCAUCUCCAGCCCCAGUUCUUCCUGCUGUGGCUUCUGCUUCCCUGAAUCCCAUUUACGGGUUUCCAGGUGAGCCUUUCCCAGAAAAGCACUUCACUCCAGCAGUCCUGCGUUCUGCAGUGCCUCUUCCCAAACAGAUGAGGAAUUUAUUUAAUCUGGAGGAUUAAAGAAGUGCUACAACUUCCAAGGAUUCAAAGACGCGGUGGAAAAAGUGACCUCAUUGGCAAAGACUUUAAGGUUUCUAGGAAGAAGAGGGAGUUGCUGUGGCAUUUUUGCGACUUGAUCCCUCGUCUCGGUUGAUCCGCAAUGGAAAGGUGACCCCGAGCCCGGCCGAGCUGGGAAUGGAUCUGGUGAGAGCCAUCGCUGUCUGAGCCAAGCAGAGUGUUCCCAAAUGCAUCCCUGAAUAGACUCACUUGCUCUUUUCCUGGCUCUAUUUUAACCACAGAUCUGUCAUUCUGCCCUGUGGGUGCCAGAAUUAAAAAAACCCCAAUAACAGAACUCAGUAA